rnacentral:rRNA from 1 species
UACGUAGGGUGCAAGCGUUGUCCGGAAUUAUUGGGCGUAAAGAGCUCGUAGGCGGUCUGUCGCGUCGGCUGUGAAAUCCCGAGGCUCAACCUCGGGUCUGCAGUCGAUACGGGCAAACUAGAGUAUUGCAGGGGAGACUGGAAUUCCUGGUGUAGCGGUGAAAUGCGCAGAUAUCAGGAGGAACACCGGUGGCGAAGGCGGCAUACUGGUCCACUUCUGACGCUGAGGCGCGAAAGCCAGGGGAGCAAACGGG